rnacentral:tRNA from 1 species
GCCAUUUUGGCUCAGUGGGUAGAGCGUUGGCCUGCAGACUGAAGGGUAACGGGUUCGAUUCUGUUCAAGGGCA